UGCGUUAUUGGAGAACAUAAACUUCUGUUUCUAGUUUUAAAAGAAAUGUAGGGAAGUAAUUUUUUUACAUGGACAAUGACCUCACUAGCUUCACAUAGGACUGGAAAGUGCAUUUUAAAAGAGAAAAGAUAAAAACGAACAUAGUACACAAGAUGUGUUCAGGUUACACAUUCAUCAAGAGUAUAGAAUAUACGCACAUGUAACCAUAGAUACACCUUCUUCUAAAAAAGGAAAAUAUGAGACUAUAAUGGACUCACGGAGCCUCAAAUCUGAUAUCAAAAUUGACUUCACUUGUAAGAGUUGAAGAGUUUACACAUAGCAUUCAAGAAAAUAGUUGAGUGUGGUUCUCAAUCGAUUAAAAAAAUAUUUUGUACUUGAAAAUUUACAUUUUGUUGCAUCUCUAGUUCUGAUUAUAAUUUAUCUUCAAGCAAAGCAUACAAUUUUUUCCUCAAGAGUUAAAUCUAUUUGUACAUUACUCCUUGACAUCUUCGAUGAAACACCUCCAUGUGUAGAAAAUCUGCCCAUUAAUUGGAAAAAAAUGUUGUUAAAAUCAAGGAUUUAUCUAAAUGUACAUUACGGACACCAUAAUGGUGUCCAUAAUGCCGAGGUGGCACCUCUCCAUUGGAAGAGGUUCUUGUGGGCCCGGCGCCUCCUCCAAUGGGGAGGCGCCACCUCGGGAUUAUGGACACUAUGGUGUCCAUAAUGUACACCAAGAAUGGUCCUAAAAUCAAUGUACAAAGUCAACACAUAUGAUGUCAAGCUUGAUGUACAUGUAAUAAGACUUUAUCACCAAAAUAUACAAUUAGGGUAUAUAUACAUAACAACUUAUAUAAUGAAUUUACGAACAAAUGAUGUAAUCAAAUAACCCCCACUUACAUUUUGUGUAAUGACACAAAUUUUAAAUAUUUAAAUCGUUACUAAAACAAUUUUCAUUCAAUAAUUUAAUAAAAUAUCGAACAUCGCAACCUAAGUUUUUGCUCAACUAAAAAAUAAAUAAAACAUACAUAAUAAAGCAUAACUUUUGUACAGCUCGAUGUAAAUCACGCAUCAAAUUCGUGUGGGUAGGUGGCGCCAUUUCCUAAAAAUUAAUAUUAAGCUACUCAUCACAUACGAAUACCAAGAAUAACAUUUUAUACCUAUACC
rnacentral:lncRNA from 1 species